CCUGGUUGAUCCUGCCAGUGCCAUAUGCUUGUCUCAAAGAUUAAGCCAUGCAUGUCUCAGUGCAAGCCACAUUAAGGUGAAACUGCAAAUGGCUCAUUACAUCAGUUAUGGUUCCUUAGAUCGUACCCACAUUACUUGGAUAACUGUGGUAAUUCUAGAGCUAUUACAUGCAAAUAGAAUUCUGACCAGAAAUGGAAGGAAUACUUUUAUUAGAUCAAAACCAAUCUGUGGCGUUCUUGCCUUGCCCACCGUUUGACUUGAUGACUCUGAAUAACUUUGUGCUGAUCGCACGGUCUAGUACCGGCGACGCAUCUUUCAAAUGUCUGCCUUAUCAACUGUCGAUGGUAGUUUCUGCGACUAUCAUGGUUGUUAGGGGUAACGGGAAAUCAGGGUUCGAUUCCGGAGAGGAAGCCUGAGAAACGGCUACCACAUCCAAUGAAGGCAGCAGGCGCGCAAAUUACCCACUCCCGGCACGGGGAGGUAGUGACAAAAAAUAACGACAUGGGACUCAUCCGAGGCCCCGUAAUCGGAAUGAGUACACUUUAAAUCCUUUAACGAGGAUCUAUUAGAGGGCCAGUCUGGUGCCAGCAGCCGCGGUAAUUCCAGCUCUAAUAGCGUAUAUUAAAGUUGUUGCGGUUAAAAAGCUCGUAGUUGAAUCUGUGUCCCACACUGUCGGUUCACCGCUCGCGGUGUUCAACUGGCAAUGCUGUGGGACGUCCUACUGAUGGGCUUAGCCCGUCAAAAGGCGGCUCAACUCAAAAUCCUCUUCACCGAGUGUCGAGGUGGGCCGGUAUGUUUACAUUGAACAAAUUAGAGUGCUUAAAGCAGGCUCAUUCGCCUGAAUAUUGUGUGCAUGGAAUAAUGGAAUAGGACCUCGGUUCUAUUUUGUUGGUUUUCGGAAUUCCGAGGUAAUGAUUAAUAGGGACAACUGGAGGCAUUCAUAUUGCGACGUUAGAGGUGAAAUUCUUAGAUCGUCGCAAGACGAACAGAAGCGACAGCAUUUGCCAAAUGUGUUUUCAUCAAUCAAGAACGUUAGUUAGAGGUUCGAAGGCAAGCAGAUACCGCCCUAGUUCUAACCAUAAACGAUGCCAGCUAGCGAUCCGCCGAAGUUCCUCCGAUGACUCGGCGGGCAGCUUCCGGGAAACCAAAGCUUUUGGGUUCCGGGGAAAGUAUGGUUGCAAAGCUGAAACUUAAAGAAAUUGACGGAAAGGCACUACAAGGAGUGGAGCCUGCGGCUUAAUUUGACUCAACACGGAAAACCUCACCAGGUCCAGACUCCGGAAGGGUUGAUAGAUUGAGAGUUCUUUCUUGACUCGGUGGGUGGUGGUGCAUGGCCUUUCUUAGUUGGUGGAGUGAUUUGUCUGGUUAAUUCUGAUAACGAACGAGACUCUAGCCUGCUAAUGGUCGUUAUUGGUUGUGGUUCUCUCUACCGGCGUACAAAUAUAUCUUCUUAGAGGGACAGGUGUUAUUUAGUCGCACGAAAUUGAGCAAUAACAGGUCUGUGAUUCCCUUAGAUUUUCUGGGCCGCACGCGCGCUACGCUGAAGAUCUUGAAUAUUUAGAGAAAGUAAAAGUUGUAAAAAGGUUUCCGUAGGUGAACCUGCGAUAAAAUCAUUAUCGUACAUUUACAAUUAAGUGAAUGAAACGUGUGCUAUAUGUCGUAUAACCUACGACGUAUAAAAUCUUAAAGCGUCUUGCAACGAUGGAUCAUUCGUUUCAUUAACGUUUUACCGGAGCUUGACGCAAAAUAUUGCGUA
rnacentral:rRNA from 1 species